rnacentral:rRNA from 1 species
AGUGAACGCUGGCGGUAGGCCUAACACAUGCAAGUCGAACGGCAGCACCGUAAGAGCUUGCUCUUACGGGUGGCGAGUGGCGGACGGGUGAGGAAUACAUCGGAAUCUACUUUUUCGUGGGGGAUAACGUAGGGAAACUUACGCUAAUACCGCAUACGCCCUACGGGUGAAAGCAGGGGAUCUUCGGACCUUGCGCGAUUGAAUGAGCCGAUGUCGGAUUAGCUAGUUGGCUGGGUAAAGGCCCACCAAGGCGACGAUCCGUAGCUGGUCUGAGAGGAUGAUCAGCCACACUGGAACUGAGACACGGUCCAGACUCCUACGGGAGGCAGCAGUGGGGAAUAUUGGACAAUGGGCGCAAGCCUGAUCCAGCCAUACCGCGUGGGUGAAGAAGGCCUUCGGGUUGUAAAGCCCUUUUGUUGGGAAAGAAAAGCAGCAGGUUAAUACCCCGCUGUUCUGACGGUACCCAAAGAAUAAGCACCGGCUAACUUCGUG